CAUUGGUUCUCUCGCGACGAUAAACUGUGAAUCUGGUCAGGCCCGGAAGGGAGCAGCCACAGCGGUGGAUUCGGGUGCCGGGGUGUAGCUGGUGCGG
rnacentral:SRP_RNA from 1 species